CAUGUUUCUUUGUAACUCAUUCCAUCUUUAUUUUUGUAGCUUCGACCUAAUUUCUGUGAUGCAUGGUCGAAUUUGGCUAGUGCUUACACGAGGAAAGGAAGAUUGAAUGAGGCUGUUCAGUGCUGUCGCCAGGCUCUUGCCCUGAAUCCUCAUUCGGUUGAUGCUCAUAGUAACCUUGGAAAUCUAAUGAAGGCCCAAGGUUUAGUUCAAGAGGCAUAUAAUUGCUACCUUGAGGCCCUGCGCAUACAACCUAAUUUUGCAAUUGCUUGGUCCAAUCUUGCUGGGCUUUUCAUGGAGGCUGGGAUUUAACAGAGCCCUUUUGUAUUAUAAGGAAGCUGUUAAACUCAAGCCAUCUUUUGCUGAUGCCUAUCUGAAUCAAGGGAAUGUCUACAAGGCUAUGGGCAUGCCUCAAGAGGCUAUAAUGUGCUAUCAGCGUGCUGUUCAGGUACAUCCAGACUAUGCCAUGGCAUAUGCAAAUCUUGCUAGUACAUACUAUGAACAAGGCCAGCUGGAUUUGGCGAUCCUUCACUACACUCGGGCCAUAACUUGUGAUCCACGGUUUGUGGAGGCAUUCAAUAAUCUGGGAAACUCUCUGAAAGAUGCUCGUCGAGUGGAAGAGGCUAUUAAUUGUUAUCAGUCAUGCCUUCAACUCCAACCGAACCACCCACAGGCUCUUACAAAUCUUGGAAAUAUAUACAUGGAAUGGAACAUGAUAGGUACAGCUGCUUCAUUCUACAAGGCAACGUUAGCUGUAACAACUGGUUUAUCUGCUCCUUUCAGUAAUUUAGCAGUAAUAUAUAAACAACAGGGAAAUUAUGCCGAUGCUAUAGCUUGUUACAAUGAAGUUCUCCGUAUAGAUCCUAUGGCAGCUGAUGGGCUGAUCAACAGGGGGAACACUUUCAAGGAGAUUGGAAGAGUUAGUGAGGCCAUUCAGGAUUAUAUACGGGCUGUCACAAUCAGGCCAAAUAUGGCUGAAGCUCAUGCAAAUUUAGCUUCAGCUUACAAGGAUAGCGGACAUGUAGAAGUAGCUAUAAAGAGUUAUAAACAGGCACUACUUCUACGUCCAGAUUUUCCAGAGGCGACUUGUAAUCUUCUUCACACCUUACAGUGUGUCUGUGAUUGGGAUAACCGGGAGAGCAAGUUUGUUGAAGUUGAAGGAAUCAUUAGAAGGCAGAUAAAGAUGUCAGUUCUUCCAAGUGUGCAACCAUUUCAUGCUAUUGCAUAUCCAAUUGAUCCCAUGCUUGCACUGGAAAUUAGCCGAAAAUACGCAGCUCAUUGCUCUUUGAUUGCUUCUCGUUAUGGGCUUCCUCCAUUUGCUCAUCCCCCUCGGAUACCUGUGAAGAGUGAAGGUAGAUGUGGGCGACUCAGGGUGGGAUAUGUAAGUAGCGACUUUGGUAACCAUCCUCUUUCACAUCUUAUGGGCUCUGUAUUUGGAAUGCAUAACCGAGAAAAUGUUGAGGUCUUUUGUUAUGCCUUGAGUCAAAAUGAUGGCAGUGAGUGGAGGCAGCGAAUCCAGUCUGAAGCUGAACAUUUCAUCGAUGUGUCUGCCAUGUCAUCUGAUAUGAUUGCCAGAAUGAUCAAUGAGGAUAAGAUACACAUCUUGAUCAACCUCAAUGGUUACACUAAGGGUGCAAGAAAUGAAAUUUUUGCCAUGCAGCCAGCACCAAUCCAGGUUUCUUACAUGGGGUUCCCAGGAACCACAGGCGCAACAUACAUUGACUACUUGGUUACUGAUGAGUUUGUUUCUCCUACACGUUUCUCACAUAUCUAUUCAGAAAAGCUUGUGCAUCUGCCCCAUUGUUACUUCGUGAAUGAUUAUAAGCAGAAAAAUCGUAAUGUUCUGGAUCCAGCCUGUCAACAUAGACGAUCAGAUUAUGGACUGCCAGAAUAUAAAUUUAUCUUUGCAUGCUUUAAUCAGCUGUACAAGAUGGACCCUGAAAUAUUUAAUACUUGGUGCAACAUUCUCAAACGUGUUCCUAACAGUGCACUGUGGCUGCUAAGAUUUCCAGCAGCUGGUGAGAUGAGACUGCGAGCAUAUGCUGUUGCAAAAGGAGUGAAACCAGAUCAGAUCAUAUUCACAGAUGUGGCUAUGAAGAACGAACACAUCAGUCGCAGUGCUUUAGCUGAUCUUUUUCUUGAUACGCCUCUGUGUAAUGCGCACACAACAGGCACAGAUAUAUUAUGGGCUGGUUUGCCAAUGAUAACACUACCCCUAGAAAAAAUGGCCACUAGGGUGGCUGGUUCACUGUGUCUGGCCACUGGAGUUGGAGAAGAGAUGAUUGUAAGCAGCAUGAAAGAGUAUGAAGACAAGGCAGUUGCUUUGGCACAGAAUCCUUUAAAGCUUGAAGCACUAACCAAUAAAUUAAAGGAAGCUCGGAUGACCUGCCCUUUGUUUGACACCAGAAGAUGGGUUCGGAAUCUGGAGAGAGCGUACUUUAAAAUGUGGAAUUUGCAUUGCUCUGGUCAACAUCCACAUCCCUUUAAAGUGACGGAGAAUGAUAAUGAUUUCCCAUAUGAUAGAUAGGGGAAGGAGGCUUUGUAAAUAAAGCUAGAGUUGCAACAUACCAUAGGAAAAUGGUGUUAUGGUUGGUUGUCCAAAUGAUGCACGGGGCUGUAUUUGAUAAGCCCUGGUUUGGUAGGAGACAGAGGUCUCUAUUGAAUAGAAAUUCCAUGCUGUCUGUGCCAGGAUAUGAUCUAGGUAUAUAUAAUAUUGGUAAAGAUAAUUGGCUGAUUUGGUAAUUUCUGGGUGAGCAUGUUAAUGUGUUUCGGCUCUGGUGGGCAAUCUCGUUUGUGAAAGUUCUCCGUGACUAUAGUUGCAUCGCCGGCUAAAAUAUUUUAAGCGCUGACAUGGUGGUUCACACAUUAAGAAGAGGUGGUUUACUGUAGAUCUGAAUGCCAAACGAUUGAUGGAAGGUUGUCAGAAUUGCAUCAAAGCAGGGAAGAAAAUGUUCUGCGACUCAGCGAGGCAAAAUUUGUAUAAACUCUGGAUCCUGCUAGCAAACUGGCACGUUGAUGGGUGUCUGGUCAUCUGAGCGUUGAGCCUGUCUUUUGGCCACUCGCAGUUUAUGGUAGAGGAAUGCAAACUAUGCUGGCCGGUGCUUCAAGAAUGUACAGAGUACUAAGUUUGCACUGCCAGGAUCUAAGCAGCAUUACGUUUGUUGCUGGUCUGGAGAUUGCCGUUUUGGAGUUUUUGCAGCGCUGGGACUUUAUUUCAUUCUUUUAUUCCUAUAGCUCUGGAUGGUCCUAGAAUAUCUCCACGUCAGACCGGGGGAGUGGUCCUGUGGAAUCCUUUAAAUUGUUUAUUAUUAGUGAUCCAGCAAGCCUGGGACAACGGGGAAACAAUGGAAAACAACCAAAGAUGGUAAUGGGCAAAUGAGGAACGGAAGCUGAUAUUAUGGAUGAUUAGAUUCCAGUAGUGUUAGGCUCGUUGUCCUACCUUGGAGAGGAUCAGAUAAAACGACAGUCUGCUUCCCAGCGAGUCAAAACCCAAUUGAAGGUUGGUGGCGGGUUCAAGAGCCAACUCCUGACAUCAUGAGCCGGGAAAGGCUAAAAUG